GGGGCGUGGUGCGUUCAGUGAUGUUGGGUCUUGCUGACGCGUUGGCGUGUGAGAUGUGCUUUGGAUAUUUGUGUUUGCCGGCUCUGUGCUUUUGCAUUGAACGGUCUGCAUGUAAUCCUUGUCAGUUUUCGUUGUACGCCCUUGUGUGCCUUUGGUGUUCGUAUGUGGUUCCUGUUUUGCUUACCUUUAAAACGGUAUCUGUGUGGCUUUUUAGGCUUGAUCCAUCCCCUGCCGUUGCACGGUCUUGUGGUGGCUUUUGAAGUUUUACGUAUGAGCCCUUUCUAGAUUUACUCGUAUGUCUAGGAAGGUGCCCAUGUAUUGACUGAAUCUUCGGACGCGGUGCUUGAGAUGAACUUUUGUGUUUUUCACAUUGUCCCUAUAUAAUGGUUGCCUUAAAUUAUGCCUGUUGUUCUGCACGUUUUGAUUGCCUUUCGUGGGCGCAAAGCUUGCAUUAUGGCAGAGUCAUUAAUGGAUGC
rnacentral:misc_RNA from 1 species